rnacentral:rRNA from 1 species
AUUGAACGCUGGCGGCAUGCCUUACACAUGCAAGUCGAACGGUAACAGGUCUUCGGAUGCUGACGAGUGGCGAACGGGUGAGUAAUACAUCGGAACGUGCCUAGUAGUGGGGGAUAACUACUCGAAAGAGUGGCUAAUACCGCAUGAGAUCUACGGAUGAAAGCAGGGGAUCGCAAGACCUUGUGCUACUAGAGCGGCCGAUGGCAGAUUAGGUAGUUGGUGGGAUAAAAGCUUACCAAGCCGACGAUCUGUAGCUGGUCUGAGAGGACGAUCAGCCAAACUGGGACUGAGACACGGCCAAGACUCCUACGGGAGGCAGCAGUGGGGAAUUUUGGACAAUGGGCGCAAGCCUGAUCCAGCAAUGCCGCGUGUAGGAUGAAGGCCUUCGGGUUGUAAACUGCUUUUGUACGGAACGAAAAGCCCCGGGUUAAUACCCUGGGGUCAUGACGGUACCGUAAGAAUAAGCACCGGCUAACUACGUGCCAGCCGCCGCCGUAA